AGGAAAGCCAAGAGGUCUCAUCACCUCCCAGGUGAGCCUCAGGCGGCUGACCGCGGCGUUGUCCAGCCCCAUGACCACGGCGUAGAAGGACAGCAGGUCCUGGUUCUGCUUGCAGCUGCGGAGGCGGGAGAUAAGGGGACAAAAGCUGAGAGAGGUUCUAGGUGCAUUGCCCCAGGGGGUGCUGCAAGGGAGCAUCCGAGCCUACGCCCUCCCUCCAUGCCCCCAGUCCAGUUCCAGCCCUCAUCCCCACCUCGUGCACACAGCGGAACAGCUCCCAGUGGAAGGCGGACUGAAUGCUGCUUACUGAAUAUUAUUUUCAUCCUGCGGGCCUAGCUGGCACCUGCCUGGCACACGGUUAUUUGUGUCUAUUCGAUUUGUAUGGUGAAAAUACUACACAAUGGCCUGCACAGCUCUCCUCUCUUCUCAGCGUCACACUCAGUGAUGUCAUGGUGGCAGCUUGAAAUCAACCAUGGUGAGAGAAUUUACACCAUGGGAAUCAGCAAAAGCUACAUAUCAGGGCUGUCUUCCUGAAAGUGCUGGGUUGUUAAAUAUUAAUCAGUACACCACUGCAUUGACAAAUAAAAGGAUGGGAGCUCCCCA